rnacentral:rRNA from 1 species
UACGUAGGGGGCGAGCGUUGUCCGGAUUCAUUGGGCGUAAAGAGCUCGUAGGCGGCUUGGCAAGUCGGAUGUGAAAACUCCAGGCUCAACCUGGAGCCGCCAUUCGAUACUGCUAUGGCUAGAGUCCGGUAGGGGAGUGUGGAAUUCCCGGUGUAGCGGUGAAAUGCGCAGAUAUCAGGAGGAACACCGGUGGCGAAGGCGGUUCUCUGGGCAUGUCCUGACGCUGAGGAGCGAAAGUGUGGGGAGCGAACAGG